CGAGUCAGCCGGGUGAUCGCGGGCGCAGGGCCGCAAGGCCGCGUCCGAGGAAAGUCCGGGCUGCACAGGGCACGGUGCUGGGUAACGCCCAGCGGGGGCGACCCCCGGGAAAGUGCCACAGAAACAUACCGCCGGUGGAACCGGCGCCGCGGGGUGCCGCCGCGCGGCCGCCGGCCGCCGGUAAGGGUGAAACGGUGCGGUAAGAGCGCACCAGCGGCCAGGCGACUGGCCGGCUAGGCAAACCCCACCGGCAGCAAGGCCGAGUAGGAGGGCGAUGAGGUGGCCCGCCGAGCCCUCGGGUUGGCCGCUGGAGGCCCCGGGCAACCGGGCGCCCUAGAUAGAUGAUCACCCUCGACAGAACCCGGCUUACAGGCUGGCUCGUCCC
rnacentral:RNase_P_RNA from 2 species